GCGGGAGUAGCUUAGUGGUAGAGCGUUUGCUUCCCAAGCAAAAAGUCGCGGGUUCGAAUCCCGUCUCCCGCU
rnacentral:tRNA from 1 species